AUGAACGCUGGCGGCGUGCCUAAUCCAUGCAAGUCGAGCGAACAGACGAGGAGCUUGCUCCUCUGACGUUAGCGGCGGACGGGUGAGUAACACGUGGAUAACCUACCUAUAAGACUGGGAUAACUUCGGGAAACCGGAGCUAAUACCGGAUAAUAUAUUGAACCGCGUGGUUCAAUAGUGAAAGACGGUUUUGCUGUCACUUAUAGAUGGAUCCGCGCCGCAUUAGCUAGUUGGUAAGGUAACGGCUUACCAAGGCGACGAUGCGUAGCCGACCUGAGAGGGUGAUCGGCCACACUGGAACUGAGACACGGUCCAGACUCCUACGGGAGGCAGCAGUAGGGAAUCUUCCGCAAUGGGCGAAAGCCUGACGGAGCAACGCCGCGUGAGUGAUGAAGGUCUUCGGAUCGUAAAACUCUGUUAUUAGGGAAGAACAAAUGUGUAAGUAACUAUGCACGUCUUGACGGUACCUAAUCAGAAAGCCACGGCUAACUACGUG
rnacentral:rRNA from 1 species